rnacentral:rRNA from 1 species
UUAUAUGAGAGUUUGAUCCUGGCUCAGGACGAACGCUGGCGGCAUGCCUAAUACAUGCAAGUCGAACGCACGAAGUUGAAAAGCUUGCUUUUCGACCAAGUGAGUGGCGGACGGGUGAGUAACACGUGGGUAACCUG